GGGGUGAUCGUCUAGUGGUAGGACGUCGUACUUGUAGCAGGGUAUGAAAACACUGGUUCGAUUCCAGUUCGCUCCA
rnacentral:tRNA from 1 species